GACGGGUGAGUAAUGUCUGGGAAACUGCCUGAUGGAGGGGGAUAACUACUGGAAACGGUAGCUAAUACCGCAUAACGUCGCAAGACCAAAGAGGGGGACCUUCGGGCCUCUUGCCAUCGGAUGUGCCCAGAUGGGAUUAGCUAGUAGGUGGGGUAACGGCUCACCUAGGCGACGAUCCCUAGCUGGUCUGAGAGGAUGACCAGCCACACUGGAACUGAGACACGGUCCAGACUCCUACGGGAGGCAGCAGUGGGGAAUAUUGCACAAUGGGCGCAAGCCUGAUGCAGCCAUGCCGCGUGUAUGAAGAAGGCCUUCGGGUUGUAAAGUACUUUCAGCGGGGAGGAAGGCGAUAAGGUUAAUAACCUUGUCGAUUGACGUUACCCGCAGAAGAAGCACCGGCUAACUCCGUGCCAGCAGCCGCGGUAAUACGGAGGGUGCAAGCGUUAAUCGGAAUUACUGGGCGUAAAGCGCACGCAGGCGGUCUGUCAAGUCGGAUGUGAAAUCCCCGGGCUCAACCUGGGAACUGCAUUCGAAACUGGCAGGCUAGAGUCUUGUAGAGGGGGGUAGAAUUCCAGGUGUAGCGGUGAAAUGCGUAGAGAUC
rnacentral:rRNA from 1 species